rnacentral:rRNA from 1 species
CACAGUAGAGUAGCAAGUACGAGUGGUGGCCGACCGGCGCGACGGUGACGUAACACGUAUGCAACCUACCUUUAACAGGGGAAUAACCCGUUGAAAAACGGACUAAUACUCCAUAACACAGGGGUCCCGCAUGGGAAUAUUUGUUAAAGAUUUAUCGGUUGAAGAUGGGCAUGCGUUCCAUUAGCUUGUUGGUGAGGUAACGGCUCACCAAGGCUACGAUGGAUAGGGGAACUGAGAGGUUUAUCCCCCACACUGGAACUGAGACACGGUCCAGACUCCUACGGGAGGCAGCAGUGAGGAAUAUUGGUCAAUGGAGGCAACUCUGAACCAGCCAAGUCGCGUGAAGGAAUGAAGGUCUUAUGGAUUGUAAACUUCUUUUGCAAGGGAAUAAAGUGGGGGACGUGUCCUCCUUUGCAUGUACCUUGCGAAUAAGGAUCGGCUAACUCCGUGCCAGCAGCAGC